UAUAGCAACUUGACUGCGCUAUAAAUUGAUGUUUCCCUAGCAAAGCAUCCCAAUCUCAAAUUCUCAAUCACAGGCAGCAGAUAUAAUUGAUCCUCGUUCGUACGGAAGUUGCGCCAUUCACCUAUCUCUUCCCUUCCGCUCAUCAUUUCCCCCCUCGAAACUAUGUGCACUGGACUCAGACCCCUGAAUCCAUCUUUCUCGGCCGACAUACCAGGUGUGCGGAAGGAGGAGAUAAAGGUGGAGGUGGAGGACUCCAGGUACCUCAUCAUAAGAACGGAGGCGGUGGCGGACCGGAGCUUCAGCCAAAAAUUCCGGCUGGAUGUGGAGGGCAUUUCGGCGGAGUACGUGGACGGAGUGUUGACGGUGAAGAUGCCUAGAUCCCUACAUCAGGAUGGGGUUUUUCAUUGAUCCACCUCAUACCGUCGAUCUUACCGCCACUGCUGCUUGAUUUUACUACUACUACUACUAUUUUAUAUGUAUGUGUGGCUUGCAUUCAAAAGUGAUGAAAUUCUUUUUUAAAAUAUGCAUAUAAUCUCGUUGGUAUUUGAAUCAUUGUUGAAAUUCUCCAUUUUGUUCAGUAGACUGAAAUAUGGUCGUAGUUUGGCA